CAAGGAGCCACCAUGGAAACACUGGGAGGAAAAGAGAAAACAGGAAGGCGAGGAGAGAUGGAGAAAAAGGCAGAAAAAGCUGACAGCCGCCUCAAUAACACAUCUGAGCAAGGGGAACAGGCUCUGAGGAGACAAAAGUGAACAUGACAAGCCCCAGGCCUCAUGGAGCUUAUAGUCGUGGAAGAGACUGACAGAUAUCAAGGUCACGCUGUUCCUAGGACUCUGUAUACUCACUAAAUGCAUGAACCUCAGAGCACUGAGUGAAGCCCAACGGGAGCAGCCAUUUGACCCAUGGGGUUGGCAUUAUUACAGUUUCCUUUUCUUUGUCCUGAUCCUCUAUUUCAAUUUUUUAUUAUUAUUAUUUUCAUGUGGGUCAAUUUAAGUUCUUUGUAGACAGAAGCAGUGGACUAUAUAGACAUAUAAAAAUAAAGAAACAUCUUCAUCUGGAGUUGAAUGACAAAUCCAAUCUCUUGGCUUGGUAUUGGUACUGAAGGGAAGACAAUAGCUUCAUCGAAAGUCACCAGUCUUGAGUCAUUACUACUAUUGUAGGAGCUUCCUAAAAGUGCUUGUCACCACUAUGACCACGGAGUAUGGACUCCAGUUUUAUCAGAAUUGUCUCAGUACAAGAAACCUCAAUUGAAGUUAAUUCAUUUUAAGAAUGGAUUUUAUGUACCACGGUAAGAAGAAAUUCUUCAGUAGGUCAAAUCCCUUACAGAAAAA